rnacentral:snoRNA from 1 species
AUGCCAUGAUGAGGACAAUCGGCACAUAACAUCUUAAAUCUAUCCCAAGCUUGAUAAAAACUUUCAUCUUUUUGUUGUCGAAAAGCAUCAAUCCUUUGUCUUCCUUU